UACGUAGGGUGCAAGCGUUAUUCGGAAUUACUGGGCGUAAAGCGUGCGCAGGCGGUUAUAUAAGUCAGUUGUGAAAUCCCCGGGCUCAACCUGGGAACUGCAUCUGUGACUGUAUAGCUAGAGUACGGUAGAGGGGGAUGGAAUUCCGCGUGUAGCAGUGAAAUGCGUAGAUAUGCGGAGGAACACCGAUGGCGAAGGCAAUCCCCUGGACCUGUACUGACGCUCAUGCACGAAAGCGUGGGGAGCAAACGGG
rnacentral:rRNA from 1 species